rnacentral:rRNA from 1 species
CCUACGGGAGGCAGCAGUGGGGGAUAUUGCACAAUGGGGGGAACCCUGAUGCAGCGACGCCGCGUGGGUGAAGAAGCGCCUCGGCGCGUAAAGCCCUGUCAGCAGGGAAGAAAAUGACGGUACCUGAAGAAGCAGCCCCUGCUAACUACGUGCCAGCAGCCGCGGUAAUACGUAGGGGGCAAGCGUUAUCCGGAUUUACGGGGUGGAAAGGGGGCGCAGACGGCGGUGCAAGCCAGGAGUGAAAGCCCGGGGCUCAACCCCGGGACUGCUCUGGGAACUGCGUGGCUGGAGUGCAGGAGGGGAGGGCGGAAUUCCAGGUGUAGCGGUGAAAUGCGUAGAUAUCAGGAGGAACACCAGUGGCGAAGGCGGCCUGCUGGACUGCAACUGACGUUGAGGCCCGAAAGCGUGGGGAGCAAACAGGAUUAGAUACCCCGGUAGUC